GACGAACGCUGGCGGCGCGCCUAACACAUGCAAGUCGAACGAGAAGGCGUAGCAAUACGCUUGUACAGUGGCGAACGGGUGAGGAACACGUGGGUAACCUACCCUCGAGUGGGGAAUAACCAACCGAAAGGUUGGCUAAUGCCGCGUAAGCUUCCAUCUCUUCGGAGGUGGAAGGAAAGCUGUACCGUGGGUACAGCGCUCAAGGAUGGGCUCACGUCCUAUCAGCUUGUUGGAGGGUAACGGCCUACCAAGGCAACGACGGGUAGCUGGUCUGAGAGGACGAUCAGCCACACUGGCACUGCGACACGGGCCAGACUCCUACGGGAGGCAGCAGUGAGGAAUAUUGCGCAAUGGGCGAAAGCCUGACGCAGCGACGCCGCGUGGGGGA
rnacentral:rRNA from 1 species